UACGUAGGGGGCCAGCGUUGUCCGGAAUCAUUGGGCGUAAAGAGCGUGUAGGCGGCCCGGUAAGUCCGCUGUGAAAGUCCAGGGCUCAACCCUGGGAUGCCGGUGGAUACUGUCGGGCUCGAGUCCGGAAGAGGCGAGUGGAAUUCCUGGUGUAGCGGUGAAAUGCGCAGAUAUCAGGAGGAACACCAAUGGCGAAGGCAGCUCGCUGGGACGUGACUGACGCUGAGACGCGAAAGCGUGGGGAGCAAACAGG
rnacentral:rRNA from 1 species